rnacentral:rRNA from 1 species
CCUACGGGAGGCAGCAGUGGGGAAUCUUGCGCAAUGGGCGAAAGCCUGACGCAGCCAUGCCGCGUGAAUGAUGAAGGUCUUAGGAUUGUAAAAUUCUUUCACCGGGGACGAUAAUGACGGUACCCGGAGAAGAAGCCCCGGCUAACUUCGUGCCAGCAGCCGCGGUAAUACGAAGGGGGCUAGCGUUGCUCGGAAUUACUGGGCGUAAAGGGAGCGUAGGCGGAUAGUUUAGUCAGAGGUGAAAGCCCAGGGCUCAACCUUGGAAUUGCCUUUGAUACUGGCUAUCUUGAGUAUGGGAGAGGUAUGCGGAACUCCGAGUGUAGAGGUGAAAUUCGUAGAUAUUCGGAAGAACACCAGUGGCGAAGGCGGCAUACUGGCCCAUUACUGACGCUGAGGCUCGAAAGCGUGGGGAGCAAACAGGAUUAGAUACCCUGGUAGUCCACGCUGUAAACGAUGAGUGCUAGUUGUCGGCAUGCAUGCAUGUCGGUGACGCAGCUACGACAUAAGUACACUCCGCCGUCGGGAGGUACGGUCGCGAGAUAAACUACGAAGAAGUAGAGCGUGAGACGUGCCGACGGACGACGACGAGGGAGGAGG